GACGAACGCUGGCGGCGUGCCUAAUACAUGCAAGUCGAGCGGACCGAACAGGCGCUUGCCCUUGUUCGGUUAGCGGCGGAAGGGUGAGUAACACGUGGGUAACCUGCCCGUAAGACCGGGGUAACUCCGGGAAACCGGAGCUAAUACCGGAUAACACCGAGGACCGCAUGGUCUUUGGUUGAAAGGCGGCUUCGGCUGCCACAUACGGAUGGGCCCGCGGCGCGUGUGCGAGGUGGUGGGGGAACGGCUCCACAAGGUGACGAUGCGGAGCCGGCCCUCGAGGGUGCCCGGCCACACUGGGACUUGGACACGGCCCAGACUCCUUCGGGAGGCAGCAGUAGGGGAUCUUCCGCCAUGGACGAAAGUCUGACGGAGCGACGCCGCGUGAGCGAAGAAGGGCUUCGGAUCGUAAAGCUCUGUUGUGUGGGAAGAAGAAGCGUCGUGCGAACAGGGCGGCGCGGUGACGUUACCUAACGAGAAAGCCCCGGCUAACUACGUG
rnacentral:rRNA from 1 species